GAAGCUCGGUGCCAGCUCUGCUUUGCUCUGGGCGCCAGAGCAGAGCCCAUCUCGGCGCCAGAACAGAGCCCAUCUGGGCGCCAGAGCAGAGAGAGCUGUGUGACUUAUAUGACCAAUUUUUGAAAAUGAGGCCUGUUGCAAUAUCAGCAAACUUAUAGGUGACAUUGCCAAAGGGCGAAGCUCGUUGAAGAGUGACCACAUUCCGACCAUCGGUGUUUUUGAACACAAUGAAUCUACAACCAUUUUUAGUUAUUAGAUAUUGAAACUCUAGCAGCUAUAAUGUAAUAUAUAAACAUUACAUCUCUUAAAAUACUACACUAACAAUGACAUUAUAUGAAUCUGCAACAACUUUUAACUAUUAGAUUUGCUUACCAACUGGAGGAUUUCAACUCUGGAUUUGAAUGUAGAAUGCAAGAGGCUGUUGAAAAAAUUUGUAUAUGCCUUAUGUUCUAUGUAUAUGAUUUGUUAGUAUUGGAUUUUAAAAAAUUCA